UCCGUAGGCGGGCAAUUAAGUCAGAGGUGAAAUCCCACAGCUCAACUGUGGAACUGCCUUUGAUACUGGUUGUCUUGAGUUACAGUGAAGUAGAUAGAAUAUGUAGUGUAGCGGUGAAAUGCAUAGAUAUUACAUAGAAUACCGAUUGCGAAGGCAGUCUACUAACUGUAUACUGAAGCUAAUGGACGAAAGCGUGGGGAGCGAACAGGAUUAGAUACCCUGGUAGUCC
rnacentral:rRNA from 1 species